GUUUGUAGACCAUAAACAACCAAGGAGGAAUCGUGGAGGGGGACAAAGAGGCGGGGGGAUUUGAGGACUGCUCAUAUCCUUUCUGGUGUGCAAAGGCCUCCGAAGAUCCCUGAGGUAUUUCAGAGAAGAGUGGGAGUCACAGACGACUGGAACACAGUUCCCACCCCUCUCUUUCACCUGAGGACAGAAGAAAGAGCCACAUGAACCACCCACAGUAGAUGGCGCCCACGGUCAGACACGGUUCACCUCAGUGGAUUUGGCAUCCUGUGUGAAGGUCCACAGUGAAAAUGUCACCUGCACAGCCGUUUGGUUCAGAGUCUGCUCCUGGCGCCCUGUGAUGUACACGGUGGCCCCUGCCUCCGACAGCUGUAGAGCGAUGCCCCUGCCGAUGCCCCUGGAGGCACCUGUGACCAAACACACCCAUCCGGACAGGGACAUGGUCUGUGUGAUGUAAGUGACAGCGUUAGCCCAAAGGUGCUUAUGGCAGGAGGCCAUGGAUGUGACCACAACCUCCACCAGGAUUGGCAGAUCUGAGGCCAGGUUCUUCCAAGCUAGUACAAAGAGGAGUCAAAGGUCGUUUUGGUCCCAUCAACUGUGUGGCUUUCCACCCUGACAGCAAGAGCUUAAAAAUGACCAGGACGAUGUCGUUCACGUAACCGAAACCGGAUGAUUUGGACUUCUUGGCGUGGUGGAGUCAACGGCCCAGGUGAGGACGACAUGGAUCUGCUGCUACCCCUGAAGGGAUUUACUGAAGACAAACCAUCUACACAGUCAGCAGAAUACUGCUACUUACCAUGACACAUUUGCCUCCAAAGUGAAGAGACCCAGAAAUACGUACCAUCAUAACAACAGCAAACCUUUUCCUCUGUACCUCCACGCAGCACCAUUUUGCCACCAGGAAAGGAAGGACUGCCAUUUUCUUCUGCUUUUAAAGGGCACAGCAGCGCCUCGUUAUCCAAUCACAGGCGACAUCCACAAUCCACCAGGUGCAGGGUCAUUAGUUUGUUAAUGGGUAGACAGUCACUGCACACUAUUGUCAGUGCAAAUAAAGGAAAAUUCCAGCAACUCUUAUACUGAAUUAUGCUGCAAAUACUGAUCGCAUCAAAUUUGUGCAAAUGUUACAAAACAUGGCAAAGAAACGCAAUGCAUUAUUUGCGUCUAUUUGUCAUAAUACCAAGGAUACAUUUUAGAUUUGGGAACUGAGAUCUUUUGUCUGCAGCUUUGUUGAAUUUACUGUUGAGAUAUAAUGAUUGCUGCCGAAAACUGCUUGUGCUGCUGCAGAGAAAGGGACGCAACUGGUAAGUCUUAUUAUUGUGAAAAAAUGCAAAAAUAAUGUCCCAGAAAUACCUCAAAAUGCACAUUUAUGCUGUAAAACAUGCUGCCAAGUAAAUAACUUAAGCUAAAAACUGCAAAAAAAUAUUUUACCUGCAUAUUUCAAAAUCUCACCAAAAACAAGAGCAGAGGGUGAACAGAGGAGACGCCUGAGGUGCUGCGAUCCAGACCAACAGGCCUCAGACCCAGGUCAUUAUAUGUUCUUGUCUUGUGACCACCACAAAUGUGAAAGUAUUGUUUUAUUUAUAAAACUAUUGACAUUUCCAAUAUUUUGUCUAAAGUCACAGUAAAGUUUUUAAGAGAAUCUUUGUGUGUCUUGUUUGACAUUUUACUGGAGUAACAGAUCAUUCCAGUAUUUACUGUUAGAAGAAGGUGAAAAGAAAUAAAAUCAAAAUAUAGGACGUAAAUCCAAGACAUAUUGUCCUUGAAAUGUUUAAAUGAUCAGGGAUCAGCAGCCAUUUCUGGUUAAGUUGUUGACAGUAAACAGGCAGGACAACACAAGCAAUUUUAAUUCUAGCAGGUUUACUGGUCUGUAGAUGUAAAUGUGUAAUAUGUUUUAGUAAAAACACAUUAGAUUAUUGUAUGAAUGCCUGAAUACAGGCUAACAUCUAACUGUUAAAUUAUUAACAAUGUAUUAUUAAUAUGUGAAUGUCUUGAUGGGAAAUAUUCCAGAAAUCAUCUGGAGCAAUAAUAAAGGGUUUACUGAAAAAUA